ensembl:lncRNA
CAGCAUACCCAGAAGCUACAGAGAUGGAGAGAGAGGAACAGAACAAACAAACAAUGCGCUCAUCCACAACAUUGAUAAGUAUAAUAAUUAUUGUAUCUCUCAAAUAUGAACAUUGACAAGUGUGAAAUGCAUGCACCAAGACAGAAGUUAAAUUGUGUGUCGACCCACAUUGUUAACUUAUGGUAUAAUGGCGCAGGGAGGAGUGAUGAAUAUGUGUGUGCGUUAAAGAACCAAAUGCUGCCCGCGGCCAGUGACGGACUUCUACGUCACACAAUCGAUAUGCUGAUAGAAUUUAGGGAGCCUUGUUUUAAGAUUAGCCUUGUUAAAAUCCCCAGUUACAAUAAAUACAGCCUCAGGAUAUGUGGUUUCCAGUUUACAUAGAGUCAAAUGAAGUCCAUUCAGGGCCGUCGAUGUGUCUGCUUGGGGGGGAUAUGCGGCUGUGAUUAUAGUCGAAGAGAAUUCUCUUGGUCGGCAUUUCAUUGUGAGGAAUUCUAAGUCAGGUGAACAGAAGGACUUGAGUUCCUGUAUGUUGUUAUGAUCACACCACAUCUCGUUAAUCAUAAGGCAUACACCCCCGCCCUUCUUCUUACCAGAAAGAUGCUUGUUUCUGUCGGCGUGAUGUGUGAAGAAACCAGCUGGCUGUACCGACUCCGAUAGCGUGUCUCGAGUGAGCUAUGUUUCCAUGAAACAAAGAAGGUUACAGUCUCUGAUGUCUCUCUGGAAGGCUACCCUUCUCCUCUGAAUGGCCUGUGGGUCAAAUUUUGCGAAAAGCACAAACCCAGACAGAAUGCAAGUAGAGUACCUAAGUAGCUGCAGUUCGGAAGAAGCUCUUUACCACACACUGGCAAGAGACGCACUGAUUGUUUCGUUAUGGUCUAAGAUAUUACGAAUGGACUCUUGGAAAGCCCUUUGUUAACAUAGAGAGAGUAUGGUAACAUCAAAAGGUUGGGGAAUGAAACAAUAUCUCCAUUUCUCAACCAGUUGAAAGUGUCCGAUGGUACCUAAAGAAUAUGAUGUCAGAGCAGUUGGUGUCUGGGACAUUAUAUCUUGAUGAUCGGAUCACAUAAAUUGUAUCGGAAAGUCUAUUGGAAAGUCUACACAAUCUAGUUAUCAGAUUCACAUGGAAUUGUUAUGCAAUUGAAACUAUUUGUGAAAGGAUGAAAAAAUGUAAGUUUAGCUUCUAAAUGAGUUGUUUUCAUAAGUAAACUAUGCUCAAUCAGUGGCCACGCCCAAGUGAACAAACAUUGGUUGAGAACUAUGAAACACGCCCUUCUCUGCCACAGUACAAAAGCCCGUCGACAGAAGUCAACCUUAGUUCCAGAUGACGUGAGGAAUGGUGUUCAUAAGUUUAAAAAGGCUAAUUUCAACUACAACCUAACGACAUUUAGUUCCAGAAAUGUUAGGACUGCUGUCUUAACGUUUAAAAGGGCAAUUUUCAAAGUGGAGCUGACGAUCACCACGCUGGAAUGGUGAAUUUUGACUAAACCAGCCAGAAUGCAGCACAAGCUGAUGAUGGGAACUUGGUAUGAACUUUGAGCGAUUAUUCACUAAAGAAGUGAUAUGUUCUAGAUGUCGAGUUAUCAGCUGCAGCUGUAAACGUACUUGGCCUAGAAAAGGACGGACAAUCUCCAAAGAACGACAGGGUACUUUAACGUAUCCACUCUACAACACUACGAGCAGAAAUAUUAAUCAAAGGACAAUGUGGGUCUCUGCUGGGUAAGCCAGUCUUCCUUCUUCGAACCAUCUAUCGAAGGGCAGCUCAGAGUAAAUAGAAAUAUUGCAUUUUCCUUUUCCGAAUGGGCGGGUAUUAGAGUGCAUAAGAUUCUGUAUUUAUGGUAGCAUAGCUUCUUAAGGUCCAAUAGACCCAAUCCCUUCCUUUGUGUAACCAGCAGUCAUAUCGGGUUAGCCCACUGGGGGCUUUUCAUGAUUAGUAAUCGAUGUGUGAUCUAUCCUGUGUAUAUAUAUAUGUAAUUCUGUGUGACUAUUUAGUAAAUAAAUAAUUAAGCUAAUUUGUGUAUUGCUGAUGAAUGCCUCCAUGGUGCCCCAGGUUAUUAAUGGUUUAAUUGUUGCAUGGUUUAAUUCAAUCACAUAAUCAAUUAAACGUUAGGUAAUCGAUUUUAUAAAAUAGCAUGUCAUAUAAUUUAAUCAUAGUCAGACACGGCAGUGUUUAUUAAAAAAAACGACUUCUUUGGAUUCCAGGAUCAUCGCCCAUUUACUCAGUGAUCCUCUACGUAUCAGAAAGCUCUUGAGCACUCUAAAUAAACGUUCAAACGAAGGCUGAGAGCCAGUGCUUUGGAACAGGAUUCAAACUAAAUUCAAUGCCCUGGCAUCACAAUACACUUGACUUAAUUGAGCUACAUAAUCAAUUUUAGGAUGAUUUGGACAUGAAACAUGAAAAAUGCUAAUAUCGGGAUAUUAACUUGCAUUGAAUUUGUACCACAAAUGCAAAAAGUUAGCAUUUGGAGACAUUGGCCUGGUGAGUAACCAAAGUAUGGAUUGCUGUCUUACGAUGCGCACACUUCAAUGAGGCCAAAGUCUGUGUGUUGUUGUGAUCAACACAAUCUCACACUCAAUUCGUGGAAAAAUGUACAAAAAGUAUUUCAGCAGAUUGCAUGUGUUUUUGUGUGGCUUAAUUUGUGUGAAAAUACACACAUUUUUGUGAGACUUAAUUCAUAAGAAAGGACACACAAAAAAUGUGUAACUUCAUUCAUAAGAAAAUGUAUUUUUGGGGGGCAAACUUCAGAACAAUCUUUUGAAAGUUGUUGGAGCAAUGCAUUUUGCGCAAUGGUGUUCUACACUGCCUUUUUUUGUAUCCCACAUUUAUUUAUAUAAAAAAACAAUGGUGUUAAUAACCCAAAAUUGUUAAUCAGCCAGGUUGUCACCGAAAUACAUAUAGUACAAUAGUAGUCUAAUUUAAAAAAAAAAAUAUAUAUAUAUAUAUAUUCCUCCAUGCAGAUCUCCUCUAGAGCAGUGAUGUUUUGGGGCUGUUGCUGGGCAACAUGGACUUUCAACUCCCUCCAAAGAUUUUCUUUGGGAGGAAUGGGCCAAAAUACCAGCAACAGUGUGUGAAAACCUUGUGAAGACUUACAGAAAACGUUUGACCUCUGCCAUUGCCAAAAAGGGUAUAUAACAAAGUAUUGAGAAACUUUUGUUAUUGACCAAAUACUUAUUUUUCACCAUAAUUUGCAAAUAAAUAAAUUAAAAAUCCUACAAUGUGAUUUUCUGGAUUUUUUUCUCCAAUUUUGUCUGUCAUAGUUGAAGUGUACCUAUGAUGAAAAUUACAGGCCUCUCUCAUCUUUUUAAGUGGGAGAACUUGCACAAUUGGUGGCUGACUAAAUACUUUUUUUGCCCCACUGUAACUAGCAACAAUGACAAGAAGCUGCUAUGUGGGGAAUCGUAGGUGGCUCAUUUCAGCUAGUUUUGUCUUGUUCUUGAUACCAUAUCUUGUUAUGAGAUGUUUUGACUGAUGUCACAUCUAUACAAUAUGGCAAAAUGUUGCUAGCUAGCUAACCAACAAUGUAACAAUGUACUUACAGAGAAC